AUACAUAUCUAUGAGACUAGUCGACUAUUUCAUGGUCGAGUGAUUUAUUUUUUUGUAUAUGUAGAACACUGCACCGGCACCAGAUGGUAAAACUAAGGGAGCACAAGCCUUAUCCAUGAGAAUCUCCGGAAACUUUGCUGCUUUCUACAACUGCAAAUUCUACGGUUUCCAAGAUACAAUCUGUGAUGAUACCGGAAACCAUUUCUUCAAGGAUUGUUACGUCGAAGGAACAUUCGAUUUCAUCUUCGGAAGUGGAACCUCUAUGUACUUGGUACGUAACAUCUCAUACAUAUUUUCUUUAUACAUAAAGUGUGAAAUCUCUAACGCAUGCUUGAAUUCAAAAGGGAACACAAUUGCACGUGGUUGGAGACGGUAUUAGAGUGAUCGCAGCGCAUGCAGGAAAGAGCGCAGAAGAAAAGAGUGGAUACUCUUUCGUGCACUGCAAGGUGACUGGAACUGGAGGAGGAAUCUAUUUGGGAAGAGCAUGGAUGAGCCACCCUAAGGUUGUCUAUGCCUACACCGAGAUGACCAGCGUUGUCAACCCCACCGGAUGGCAAGAAAACAAGACUCCCGCACAUGACAAGUAAGUACACUUUUCACACUACAU
rnacentral:sRNA from 1 species